CUAAGGUUCUUUCUCUUUCCCUUGGUGCAUCACAAACCAUCUGUUAAAUUGCUAUCUCUAAAAUCUCAAACUGUUAGAGAAUGGCAUAUUUAUUUACCUAAAAUCUCUCUCUCUCUCUCUCUCUCUCUCUCUCUCCCUCUCUCUCUCUCUCUCUUUUGGUAGAAUUGUCUAACGUGUGAUCGUAAAGGGGUUUCGGCUAUAUUUUAAUUUAAUGCUACUUGCAGUCGCUCACUCCAACUGCAAGUAGCAUCAUUCUUUAACUUAAGAUAUUUCUCUAUUUUGAUACCACGUUGAACUAAUGAGUCUUCAACAACACUUGCGCACCUCACCUAGGAGGAAAUGACAUGAACCGGUUUGAUAUAUUGGGAAUUAUAUUCAUUUCACCUUUCUUUACUUUUAGGUGGCCUUGAAAUCGUAUGAGUUGGUUUUUGACGCGGUUUACACACCUCGAAACACUCGACUACUGCAAGAGGCAGCAGAUGUUGGCGCUAUAGUGGUGAGUGGUGUUGAGAUGUUCAUCAGGCAGGCUCUCGGCCAAUUUAAGUUAUUCACUGGUGGAUUAGGUACUAUCUUGUCUCUCUCACUUUGAUUAUUUAAUACUUGAAAAGCCAAAAAGCUCUUAUUUUCUUUAAGAAAGAUGUUCCUAACAACUUAUAAGUUGAUUUCUAAUGCCAUGAAACAGAAAAGUUAAUAAAUCUUAAGCUAAAUUAAUAUCAAGGCACGUUAUUCUCCUAACAAGAUUGUACUUAUACAAUUGGAUUUUUGUUUAAAAAUGAGAUAAGGGAAUGAAGUAAACUUACUCCCUGUCGACAAAGAAGGGGGAGAAAUUCAGGUCGAAUGAUAAAAACAGAAAGAAAGAGAGAGAUACAUAUAUAUAUAUACCCACAGAGACCAUAUAUAGUAUAAAUGAGGAAUUUUUUUACUUUUAACAAUUUGACAGUGAGGUUUGCUAACUCUUUCGAGUCUAUUUGUGAUUUCCAGCACCAGAGGACUUCAUGCGCAAGAUUGUAUUAGAGCAAUUUUGAUAUAUAUAAUCUGUACUGAGGAACGUAUUGAAAUAAAGAGGACUUGAUUGUAAUAUUUGGGAGGAUUUAUUUAAUCAUAUAGGUCGGCUCUUGACUUGUUAUUUCAAUAAAUCAAACUUAGAAAAAUUAGAUAAAUACUUGAGUUCAUGCCAAAAGCAAGGUCAUUUUGAGAACCUUGUCUUCCCUAGGCCUUGCACGGCUUAUCGGGAAGACGAAGAAGCUCUUCCUUCUAUUUUUAGAGCUUAUUUAUAGACAGUAGUGACUCUUUCUUUCUUUUUCUUUUUUUCUCAUUUUUAGAAGUGGAGAUAAAGCUUAUGAUUUGUAUAAAGCUUUCAACUUUCUAAGUCGGGAACAAGUUACCUACUGUUACGGACCUUCCUCCAGU
rnacentral:lncRNA from 1 species